UACGGAGGGUGCUAGCGUUGUUCGGAAUUACUGGGCUUAAAGCGCACGUAGGCGGCUUUGUAAGUUAGAGGUGAAAGCCCGGGGCUCAACUCCGGAACUGCCUUUAAGACUGCAUCGCUUGAAUCCAGGAGAGGUGAGUGGAAUUCCGAGUGUAGAGGUGAAAUUCGUAGAUAUUCGGAAGAACACCAGUGGCGAAGGCGGCUCACUGGACUGGUAUUGACGCUGAGGUGCGAAAGCGUGGGGAGCAAACAGG
rnacentral:rRNA from 1 species